AAUGUAAUAUUUUAAUGUUUUGUAAAUAUUGACCUCUAGUUAGUUUGGCUUUAUAACUGUUUAUUUUGUGUAUAGAGAAAAUUAAUGACGCAAGGCUAAUUUGACAAGUUGCUAGUUUAUUAUCUGCAGUUAAAGUUGAACUGUCAGAUGUGAUUAACCAGAAACGAUGCCCUGGUAUGUAGGGUAAUAAAAUUAGCUAUGCCUAUUUGUUUGUCUAGAGAUGAAGUAAUUAAACUCUAUGAUAAGGUCAGUUGGUCAAGAGACUGGCAGAUUGUGUAUCAGCUGUGAUACUGUAAGGAUGUGUAUUCCUUGAAGUCUUGAAUCAGUUAGAUUCUGGAGGACUUGUAUUUAAAGUUUAUAUAUGUUUAAACUUUGUAGCUUACUUUGUCAAUGUGUCUGAAGUAAUGUACAUUUGUUAAUAAACUUGUAUAUAUAAAUACCGUAUUAUUUAGUUACUGGGAAUUUACCACAGGAUAUAUUGUCGUGCCAUAGAUGGCUAUGUCCGUCCGUCUGUGUCGGUGUUGACCUCCCCUCGAUCACGUUACAAUA
rnacentral:lncRNA from 1 species